rnacentral:rRNA from 1 species
ACGUAGGUGGCAAGCGUUGUCCGGAAUUAUUGGGCGUAAAGAGCAUGUAGGCGGGCUUUUAAGUCCGACGUGAAAAUGCGGGGCUUAACCCCGUAUGGCGUUGGAUACUGGGAGUCUUGAGUGCAGGAGAGGAAAGGGGAAUUCCCAGUGUAGCGGUGAAAUGCGUAGAUAUUGGGAGGAACACCAGUGGCGAAGGCGCCUUUCUGGACUGUGUCUGACGCUGAGAUGCGAAAGCCAGGGUAGCAAACGG